CCGACGGUGAGGGACGAAAGCUGGGGGAGCAAACCGGAUUAGAUACCCGGGUAGUCCCAGCUGUAAACGAUGCGCGUUAGGUGUGUCAGUGACCACGUGUCACUGAUGUGCCGAAGGGAAACCGUGAAACGCGCCGCCUGGGGAGUACGGUCGCAAGGCUGAAACUUAAAGGGAUCGGCGGGGGAGCACCACAACGGGUGGAGCCUGCGGUUUAAUCGGACUCAACGCCGGAAAUCUCACCGGAUAA
rnacentral:rRNA from 1 species